GACGAACGCUGGCGGCGUGCCUAAUACAUGCAAGUUGAGCGAUGAAGAUUGGUGCUUGCACCAAUUUGAAGAGCAGCGAACGGGUGAGUAACGCGUGGGGAAUCUGCCUUUGAGCGGGGGACAACAUUUGGAAACGAAUGCUAAUACCGCAUAACAACUUUAAACAUAAGUUUUAAGUUUGAAAGAUGCAAUUGCAUCACUCAAAGAUGAUCCCGCGUUGUAUUAGCUAGUUGGUGAGGUAAAGGCUCACCAAGGCGAUGAUACAUAGCCGACCUGAGAGGGUGAUCGGCCACAUUGGGACUGAGAAACGGCCCAAAAUCCUACGGGAGGCAGCAGUAGGGAAUCUUCGGCAAUGGACGAAAGUCUGACCGAGCAACGCCGCGUGAGUGAAGAAGGUUUUCGGAUCGUAAAACUCUGUUGGUAGAGAAGAACGUUGGUGGGAGUGGAAAGCUCAUCAAGUGACGGUAACUAACCAGAAAGGGACGGCUAACUACGUG
rnacentral:rRNA from 1 species